rnacentral:rRNA from 1 species
UACGUAGGGGGCAAGCGUUGUUCGGAAUUACUGGGCGUAAAGGGCGCGUAGGCGGCAUGGCAAGUCGGGAGUGAAAGCCCGGGGCUCAACCCCGGAACGGCUUUCGAAACUGCCAAGCUAGAGUACGGAAGGGGCAACUGGAAUUCCCAGUGUAGCGGUGAAAUGCGUAGAUAUUGGGAAGAACACCGGAGGCGAAGGCGGGUUGCUGGGCCGAUACUGACGCCGAGGCACGAAGGCCAGGGGAGCAAACGGG